GACUGGAGGGACCUGGGGGCAUCAUUGUAGUUCAUGGAAAGCAGCUGGGUGGAACACGGGUAGACCAUGGGGCUAUAAACCCCAGAGUGCAUUAGACAGAAUUGACAAAGACGGAAAACCUUUACUCUCCAGAAUGACCUUAAGUAAACCUAUUGGGUCAACUCCCAUCAAACUUACCUUAAACAUAGAGCACCCCAGCCCAAAAGAUGCAGGGGAAUAUGUAAUGGGAAUGUACUGAAGGGGAGGCGGCUCAUAUAAUAAACUGGGGACAUUUUAUCUGCAAGACAUGCUUACC